rnacentral:rRNA from 1 species
GGUUAAGCGACUAAGCGUACACGGUGGAUGCCCUGGCAGUCAGAGGCGAUGAAGGACGUGCUAAUCUGCGAUAAGCGUCGGUGAGGUGAUAUGAACCGUUAUAACCGGCGAUUUCCGAAUGGGGAAACCCAGUGUGUUUCGACACACUAUCAUUAACUGAAUCCAUAGGUUAAUGAGGCGAACCGGGGGAACUGAAACAUCUAAGUACCCCGAGGAAAAGAAAUCAACCGAGAUUCCCCCAGUAGCGGCGAGCGAACGGGGAGGAGCCCAGAGCCUGAAUCAGUGUGUGUGUUAGUGGAAGCGUCUGGAAAGGCGUGCGAUACAGGGUGACAGCCCCGUACACAAAAAUGCACAUAUUGUGAGCUCGAUGAGUAGGGCGGGACACGUGGUAUCCUGUCUGAAUAUGGGGGGACCAUCCUCCAAGGCUAAAUACUCCUGACUGACCGAUAGUGAACCAGUACCGUGAGGGAAAGGCGAAAAGAACCCCGGCGAGGGGAGUGAAAAAGAACCUGAAACCGUGUACGUACAAGCAGUGGGAGCCUCUU